AUACGUAGGGGGCAAGCGUUGUCCGGAAUUACUGGGCGUAAAGCGCACGCAGGCUGAAUUAUAAGUCGGUAGUCAAAGGCGGAGGCUCAACCUCUGUAUAUCUAUCGAUACUGUAAAUCUGGAGUAUGUGAGAGGGAAGCGGAAUUCCCGGUGUAGCGGUGAAAUGCGUAGAUAUCAGGAGGAACACCAGUGGCGAAGGCGGCUAACUGGCCUGUAACUGACGCUCAGGCACGAAAGCGUGGGGAGCAAAUAGGAUUAGAUACCCUAGUAGUCCACGCCGUAAACGAUGAAUACUAAGUGUUGGGGUAAAACUCAGUGCUGCAGUUAACGCAAUAAGUAUUCCGCCUGGGGAGUAUGCGCGCAAGCGUAAAACUCAAAUGAAUUGACGGGG
rnacentral:rRNA from 1 species